rnacentral:rRNA from 1 species
GUGCGCGUGCUAUCAUGCAGUCGAGCGGACAGAUGGGAGCUUGCUCCCUGAUGUCAGCGGCGGACGGGUGAGUAACACGUGGGUAACCUGCCUGUAAGACUGGGAUAACUCCGGGAAACCGGGGCUAAUACCGGAUGCUUGAUUGAACCGCAUGGUUCAAUUAUAAAAGGUGGCUUUUAGCUACCACUUACAGAUGGACCCGCGGCGCAUUAGCUAGUUGGUGAGGUAACGGUUCACCAAGGCAACGAUGCGUAGCCGACCUGAAAGGGUGAUCGGCCACACUGGGACUGAAACACGGCCCAAACUCCUACGGGAGGCAGCAGUAGGGAAUCUUCCGCAAUGGACAAAAGUCUGACGGAGCAACGCCGCGUGAGUGAUGAAGGUUUUCGGAUCGUAAAACUCUGUUGUUAGGGAAAAACAAGUACCGUUCAAAUAGGGCGGAACCUUGACGGUACCUAACCAAAAAGCCACGGUUAACUACGUGCCAGCAGCCGCGGUAAUACGUAGGUGGCAAGCGUUGUCCGGAAUUAUUGGGCGUAAAGCGCCGCGCAGGCGGUUUC